GGGUCAGUAGGUUGGUCGUGCCACCGGUACGUACUGGUCUCACCGAUUCCUCCUUCCUGAAGAACCGUAAUGCCAUUAAUUUGGUGUUGCGGGGAAACAGGACUGUUACUUUGAAAAAAUUAGAGUGUUUAAAGCAAGCUAACGCUUGAAUACAUUAGCAUAGAAUAAUGAAAUAGGACGAUCGAUCCUAUUUUGUUGGUUUCUAGGAUUGACGUA
rnacentral:rRNA from 1 species